AAUGGGCGAAAGCCUGAUCCAGCAAUGCCGCGUGUGUGAAGAAGGCCUGCGGGUUGUAAAGCACUUUCAGUAGAGAAGAAAAGCUUCUGGUUAAUAACCGGGAGUCUUGACGUAACCUACAGAAGAAGCACCGGCUAACUCCGUGCCAGCAGCCGCGGUAAUACGGAGGGUGCGAGCGUUAAUCGGAAUUACUGGGCGUAAAGCGCGCGUAGGCGGCUUUGUAAGUCGGAUGUGAAAUCCCCGGGCUUAACCUGGGAACUGCAUUCGAUACUGCAGAACUAGAGUAUGGUAGAGGGAAGUGGAAUUUCCGGUGUAGCGGUGAAAUGCGUAGAUAUCGGAAGGAACACCAGUGGCGAAGGCGACUUCCUGGGCCAAUACUGACGCUGAGGUGCGAAAGCGUGGGGAGCAAACAGGAUU
rnacentral:rRNA from 1 species